rnacentral:rRNA from 1 species
AAAUGUGGUCAUACUGGCUUGUCAAAACCUGAUCUUGUCAGGUCUCAGAAGAUAAACAAGGCCAGGCCUGGUUAGUACUUGGGUGGGACAUCACAGGGGAUACCAGGUGUCACAGUGG